rnacentral:rRNA from 1 species
GACGAACGCUGGCGGCGUGCCUAACACAUGCAAGUCGAGCGAGUGAAUCUCCUUCGGGAGUGAAACUAGCGGCGGACGGGUGAGUAACACGUGGGCAACCUGCCUCAUAGAGGGGAAUAGCCUCCCGAAAGGGAGAUUAAUACCGCAUAAGAUUGUAGCUUCGCAUGAAGUAGCAACUAAAGGAGGAAUCCGCUAUGAGAUGGGCCCGCGGCGCAGUAGCUAGUUGGGGAGGUAACGGCUCACCAAGGCGACGAUGCGUAGCCGACCUGAGAGGGUGAUCGGCCACAUUGGGACUGAGACACGGCCCAGACUCCUACGGGAGGCAGCAGUGGGGAAUAUUGCACAAUGGGGGAAACCCUGAUGCAGCAACGCCGCGUGAGUGAUGACGGCCUUCGGGUUGUAAAGCUCUGUCUUCAGGGACGAUAAUGACGGUACCUGAGGAGGAAGCCACGGCUAACUACGUGCCAGCAGCCGCAGUAAGAC